rnacentral:rRNA from 1 species
ACGUAGGAGGCAAGCGUUAUCCGGAAUCACUGGGCUUAAAGGGUGCGCAGGCUGGCCCGAAAGCGUCUUGUGAAAGCCCCCGGCUCAACCGGGGAACAGCGGGGCGAACUUCGGGUCUUGAGGCAGGUAGGGGCGGAUGGAACUGUCGGUGGAGCAGUGAAAUGCGUAGAGAUCCGGAGGAACACCAGAGGCGAAGGCGACACCCUGGGCCGUACCUGACGCUAAGACGCGACAGCACGGGGAGCGAACGG